rnacentral:rRNA from 1 species
GACGAACGCUGGCGGCGUGCUUAACACAUGCAAGUCGAACGGUGAAGCGCUUUCCUUUUUGGUUGGUGUGGAUGAGUGGCGAACGGGUGAGUAACACGUGAGUAACCUGCCCCCUUCUUCUGGAUAACCGCAUGAAAGUGUGGCUAAUACGGGAUAUUCUGCGCCUGCUGCAUGGUGGGUGUGGGAAAGAUUGUGCCUUUGGGUGUUUUCGGUGGGGGAUGGGCUCGCGGCCUAUCAGCUUGUUGGUGGGGUGAUGGCCUACCAAGGCGGUGACGGGUAGCCGGCCUGAGAGGGUGGACGGUCACACUGGGACUGAGACACGGACCAGACUCCUACGGGAGGCAGCAGUGGGGAAUAUUGCACAAUGGGCGCAAGCCUGAUGCAGCGACGCCGCGUGAGGGAUGGAGGCCUUCGGGUUGUGAACCUCUUUCGCCAGUGAAGCAGGCCUGCUCCUUGUGGGUGGGUUGACGGUAGCUGGAUAAGAAGCGCCGGCUAACUACGUG